GAAGGCGGCUAGAGAUACAAAACCACCCAGCUCUGCAUCCUGAGACAAAGAAGCCUUUCACUGGGCUCGUAUGUUAGAGGAGGAUUGCAAGCUCUUUGCCGAAGGAUCACAACUUAUAUCCUUCCUUCUGGUACUACUAGGAAACUUCGCAGUUCAAUAAGAAGCAUUGUCUCAAACUAAAUCAUUGCUUGUUGAAUGAGCACAGACUCCAGGGCAACAUGCACCGGGGUUCCAUGACAGAUGAGACCUAGCCUGUCCCCAGGUAGCAACGAAAGACUGAAAUGAUUUAAAAGCAACCAAGAAAGGGUCACAAGGCAUUAAUACAGCCACCUGGCAAAGAGCAUAUCUGGAGACAGACGUUGACAGCCCCGUGUGGACAUUAGUUCUAUAGGAUGUUGUAAGAGGAACGAAUCCAGGCAGGGUGGGGAGGAGGUGGGAAGUGAGCCCGGCCCUGAAGGUGGGCAAGAGCCAGGCAAGAAGAGGAGAAAGAUUGUUCUCAUGGUGGGAGGAAUGCAAGGCCACCUAUGGAAAUACAAGUGGAGCAGUUUGGCUGGAGAAAGAGGUUGUGUUUGCUUAUGGAGGCCUUGGAUGCCCAGUUGGGAGAAUGGACCUCACUUUCUGGGGCUGACUGUGUUGCGAUUUUUCUCUUGAGCCAUGCCUGGAACACGGUUUGUAUUCAACAGCAACUCACAAACUGACAGUUCCCUGCAAGGCUGUCAUAUGCCACUUGCUUUACAGAAACACCUCGCUUAUUUUAAGCCUGAAAACAAAGCCACAGGGCGAGUAUUAUUCUCAUUCCUAUGCUACAGAUAAGAAAAUUGAGGUUUCAAAAGAUGGAAGAAUGAGGUUAAAGUCCCACGGCUAGUAAGUGGCA
rnacentral:antisense_RNA from 1 species